CCCGGCCGCCGCCUUCCGACCCUUCCUUCCACACACACGCGCACACACACACACGCACACACACACACACGCAUGCACGCACACGCACACACACGCCGGGGCAUUUUAACAGCCAUGCCCCAAACGAAGAGUGUGAAAACUGCACCAAAAACUGGUUACAGGCGUGCUAUAAAGCCCUGAUAGGAGGUACUCCACCAACACACACACACACACGCACACGCACGCACACACACCGGCAGCCCGUAAAACAUCGAUAUUCUCUAAUGUGGUUUUUCGGGUGGCUGUAGAUUUGGCCAAACAGCUUUCCUCCAGAAGCACUACUUUGCUGUGCUCACAAAAGGACCUCAUUCCCCCGGCGCGUGAAUGAAUCCCGACCCCCGAUCCGCCACCAUUCAUGCAUCCCCCAGCCGAGCUGUUUACUUAAUCCAAAGAGAGCGGUGGCCGCACUCCCCCGGCCUCAGCGAAACUCAGUGCUCCAGCUCGCUGGACGCGCUGCUCGGGAAAGAACAUUCCAUCCCCCUCAGCUUCUUCCUCCAUUAAACUGAGAAUUGAAGGUGUGUUAGUGAGUUUUGGGAUUUACCCGUGUUUUCUUCCAAUUCCUCAAGACCCCUCCGUAUUUUUAUGAAGAAACAGAAAACAAGAAGCAUACGUUACGAUAUGGACAUCAAUCAGCACAUCUUUAUAUGAUUAGCUGUCAGCCCACAUUGGAACGAACUGCCGUCUAAAUACAGACUUAAGCCAAAAGAUUAAUACUUUAAGAAAGGGUUAGUGUGCUCCAUUUAUCAGUAAGAUCCAGUAAAGAAUGUAUUCUCACCUCAA